AACGAACGCUGGCGGCGUGGAUAAGACAUGCAAGUCGAACGGUAACAGGUCCAGCAAUGGAUGCUGACGAGUGGCGCACGGGUGCGUAACACGUAUGCAAUCUACCCUUAACUGGGGGAUAGCCCCGAGAAAUCGGGAUUAAUACCCCAUAAUAUUAUGAUGAAGCAUUUUCAUUAUAAUUAAAGCUCCGGCGGUUUUGGAUGAGCAUGCGCGACAUUAGCUAGUUGGUGAGGUAACGGCUCACCAAGGCUUCGAUGUCUAGGGGGUUCUGAGAGGAUUCACCCCCCAGACUGGUACUGAGACACGGACCAGACUCCUACGGGAGGCAGCAG
rnacentral:rRNA from 1 species